rnacentral:lncRNA from 1 species
AAAUUAAAAACAUGCAUUGAAAAAAAUAGUACAGUUUGGAGUGUGUUGAAUUUAAGCUACUUUAAGGAACAAUCAGAUGAAGGCUGGGAGGAUCCUCCUCCUUCAUUGCCUCUGUCUCCUCUUCGGGUCCCAGGAUUCACACUCACCUGCUGGCCUGUCUCCCUAGCACCAGGACCGGAGGACAGUGCUGGGAGGAGAAUUCCAAGUGGAUCCAGACAAGUGAGGAGUGAGAGUGAAUCCAGGGGGCACUGUCCAGAGACCUGGGAUAUGCAUGGGGUUACAGGCUCACAGUUGGGCAGAUGGUUUGCUGUUCUUCUGACCACACUAUUGCCUCUGUAUGUCUACUCAGCCAUUUGCAUCUCCCCCAAGUUACAGCCCACCCAGAAUUGGAAGUCAUCUUAGGGACACUCAGGUACCUGUGUCCUGCUGUCUGACCCUACUCCCCACCCAGUCCCCAGAUGGGGAACACAAAAAUUAUGU